rnacentral:rRNA from 1 species
UACAGAGGGGGGCAAGCGUUGUUCGGAAUUACUGGGCGUAAAGGGCGCGUAGGCGGCCUGUUAAGUCGAACGUGAAAUCCCCGGGCUCAACCCGGGAACUGCGUCCGAAACUGGCAGGCUUGAAUCCGGGAGAGGGAUGCGGAAUUCCAGGUGUAGCGGUGAAAUGCGUAGAUAUCUGGAGGAACAUCGGUGGCGAAGGCGGCAUCCUGGACCGGUAUUGACGCUGAGGCGCGAAAGCCAGGGGAGCAAACGGG